ACUCCUACGGGAGGCAGCAGUGGGGAAUAUUGCACAAUGGGCGCAAGCCUGAUGCAGCCAUGCCGCGUGUGUGAAGAAGGCCUUCGGUUGUAAAGCACUUUCAGUCGUGAGGAAGGUGGUAGUGUUAAUAGCACUAUCAUUUGACGUUAGCGACAGAAGAAGCACCGGCUAACUCCGUGCCAGCAGCCGCGGUAAUACGGAGGGUGCGAGCGUUAAUCGGAAUUACUGGGCGUAAAGCGCAUGCAGGUGGUUUGUUAAGUCAGAUGUGAAAGCCCGGGGCUCAACCUCGGAAUAGCAUUUGAAACUGGCAGACUAGAGUACUGUAGAGGGGGUAGAAUUUCAGGUGUAGCGGUGAAAUGCGUAGAGAUCUGAAGGAAUACCGGUGGCGAAGGCGGCCCCCUGGACAGAUACUGACACUCAGAUGCGAAAGCGUGGGGAGCAAACAGGAUUAGAUACCCUGGUAGGAUAGCG
rnacentral:rRNA from 1 species